rnacentral:rRNA from 1 species
AAUAGAUACCCGGGUAGUCCACGUCUGUAAACGAUGACGAGCUAGUUGUCGGCAUGCAUGCAUGUCGGUGACGCAGCUAACGCAUUAAGCUCUCCGCCUGGGGAGUACGGUCGCAAGAUUAAAACUCAAAGAAAUUGACGGGGGCCCGCACAAGCGGUGGAGCAUGUGGUUUAAUUUGAAGCAACGCGCAGAACCUUACCCACGUUUGACAUGUCCAGUUUGGUCGGCAGAGAUGCCUUCCUUCAGUUCGGCUGGCUGGAACACAGGUGCUGCAUGGCUGUCGUCAGCUCGUGUCGUGAGAUGUUGGGUUAAGUCCCGCAACGAGCGCAACCCUCGCUACUAGUUGCCAGCAGGUUAAGCUGGGCACUCUAGUGGAACUGCCGGUGGCAAGCCGGAGGAAGGUGGGGAUGACGUCAAGUCCUCAUGGCCCUUACGCGUGGGGGCUACACACGUGCUACAAUGGUGGUGACAGAGGGAUAAUCCCUAAAAGCCAUCUCAGUUCGGAUUGUCCUC